UGGAGUGGACGAGGCGGUUGCUUCCUCCCCGCCGCAAGAAGGGGAGGGAGAGGAAAGUCCGAACUCCAGAGGGCAGGAUGGUCGCUAACGGCGACGCCAAGCGAUUGGGGGAAAGUGCCGCAGAAAACAAACCGCCCUCACGGGCAAGGGUGAAACGGCGAGGUAAGAGCUCACCGCUCCGGCGGCGACGCCGGAGGCACGGCAAACCCCAUCCGGAGCAAGACCGAAUCGGCCCCGCACGAGGCGGCCCGUCUCAGGGGGCGGGUAGGUCGCUCAUUCCUCCGGGUUCGAUCCCGGGGGCAGACAAAUAACCGCCGCCGCCGGAAUUUCCGGCGGACACAGAAUUCGGCUUACGGUCCGCUCCAGCCG
rnacentral:RNase_P_RNA from 1 species